UAGGGAAUCUUCCGCAAUGGGCGAAAGCCUGACGGAGCAACGCCGCGUGAGUGAUGAAGGUCUUCGGAUCGUAAAACUCUGUUAUUAGGGACGAACCAAUGUGUAAGUAACUAUGCACGUCUUGACGGUACCUAAUCAGAAAGCCACGGCUAACUACGUGCCAGCAGCCGCGGUAAUACGUAGGUGGCAAGCGUUAUCCGGAAUUAUUGGGCGUAAAGCGCGCGUAGGCGGUUUUUUAAGUCUGAUGUGAAAGCCCACGGCUCAACCGGGGAGGGUCAUUGGAAACUGGAAGACUUGAGUGCAGAAGAGGAAAGUGGAAUUCCAUGUGUAGCGGUGAAAUGCGCAGAGAUAUGGAGGAACACCAGUGGCGAAGGCGACUUUCUGGUCUGUAACUGACGCUGAUGUGCGAAAGCGUGGGGAUCAAACAGG
rnacentral:rRNA from 1 species